UCGUUCGCCUUAGGCACUGGAUCUGGCACUGUGCAACUAACUUCUGGCUCUUCCCUAGGUAAAGAUAACUGCAAAAGGUGACCAUUUUGAAUCCAUUCAGGACAUUGAGGCAGCCAGGACAGUGGAACUAAAGACACUCACCAAAGAGCACCGUUUGAUGGCCUGUUUAUGCCCAUGGGCACGGUCCAUGUGGAGGGAGGAGUGGCAUGUCCUUACUGCAGCUGAUGAGCAUCUGAAUAUUCUCAUUCCGUUGGCCUACAGGACUGCAGCCUCCAGCACUGGAACCAGAUCGCAGUAGCUGGCUUCUUCUGGCCAGCGAGAGCCUUUCUCACUCCUAUCUGCUGAGACAGAGUCUGGUGACACACAGGGCACCAUUGUGGAAUCGAGUCCCAG
rnacentral:lncRNA from 1 species